UUAACAUUAUGGUCCUUGAGUAUAGUCCUAGUUAAUAGAAAAAUUUUAAUCCUUAGAUAUUGAAAAAGGUCUCUAGGGGGAAGAUUAUAUUUUACUUGCAUUUGUAUAAAUGGGAUGGGUUUAGAUCCAUCCCAUAAAUCAGAAAUCUUCAAUAUGCCUAGGUGUGUCCAGGGUUGAACAUUUAUAUUAUUCAUUGCGUGUUGUAGGACC